GGKWGCUUUUGCGGUACAGGAKGGGCCCGCGGCCUAUCAGCUCGUUGGUGAGGUAACGGCCUACCAAGGCGACGACGGGUAGCCGGCCUGAGAGGGCGACCGGCCACACUGGGACUGAGACACGGCCCAGWCUCCUACGGGAGGCAGCAGUGGGGAAUAUUYGCACAAUGGGCGGAAGCCUGAUGCAGCGACGCCGCGUGAGGGAUGACGGCCUUCGGGUUGUAAACCUCUUUCAGUAGGGACGAAAGCGCAAGUGACGGUACCUACAGAAGWAAGCACCGGCCAACUACGUGCCAGCAGCCGCGGUAAUACGUAGGGUGCGAGCGUUGUCCGGAUUUACUGGGCGUAAAGAGCUCGUAGGCGGUUUGUCACGUCGUCUGUGAAAACCCGAGGCUUAACCUCGGGCCUGCAGGCGAUACGGGCAGACUUGAGUACUGUAGGGGWGACUGGAAUUCCUGGUGUAGCGGUGGAAUGCGCAGAUAUCAGGAGGAACACCGGUGGCGAAGGCGGGUCUCUGGGCAGUAACUGACGCUGAGGAGCGAAAGCGUGGGUAGCGAACAGGAUUAGAUACCCUGGUAGUCCACGCCGUAAACGGUGGGUACUAGGUGUGGGUUUCCUUCCACGGGAUCCGUGCCGUAGCUAACGCAUUAAGUACCCGCCUGGGGAGUACGGCCGCAGGCUAAACUCAAGGAUGACGGGGCCGCACAGCGCGAGCAUGUGAUAUCGAUGCACGCGAGACUUACUGGGUGGAMUAUAGA
rnacentral:rRNA from 1 species